GCCGAGAUAGCUCAAUUGGCAGAGCAAGUGAUUUGUAAUCACUAGGUUCCGAGUUCGACCCUCGGUCUCGGCU
rnacentral:tRNA from 1 species